rnacentral:rRNA from 1 species
UACGGGGGGGAGCAAGCGUUGUUCGGAUUUACUGGGCGUAAAGGGCGCGUAGGCGGCGUGACAAGUCACUUGUGAAAUCUCCGGGCUUAACUCGGAACGGUCAAGUGAUACUGUCGUGCUAGAGUACAGAAGGGGCAACUGGAAUUCUCGGUGUAGCGGUGAAAUGCGUAGAUAUCGAGAGGAACACCUGCGGCGAAGGCGGGUUGCUGGGCUGAUACUGACGCUGAGGCGCGAAAGCGUGGGGAGCGAACAGG